rnacentral:rRNA from 2 species
UGGGGAAUCUUCCGCAAUGGGCGCAAGCCUGACGGAGCAAUGCCGCGUGAGUGAAGAAGGCCUUCGGGUUGUAAAACUCUGUCCUCAUCCAAGAGAAGGAAAGGUAGUAACUGGCCUUUCCAGGACGGUAGAUGAGGAGGAAGCCCCGGCUAACUAUGUGCCAGCAGCCGCGGUAAAACAUAGGGGGCAAGCGUUGUCCGGAAUCACUGGGCGUAAAGGGCGCGCAGGCGGUCUGUUAAGUCAGAUGUGAAAGGUUAGGGCUCAACCCUGAACGUGCAUCUGAUACUGGCAGACUUGAGUAUGGAAGAGGUAAGUGGAAUUCCUAGUGUAGCGGUGAAAUGCGUAGAUAUUAGGAGGAACACCAGUGGCGAAGGCGACUUACUGGGCCAUAACUGACGCUGAGGCGCGAAAGCGUGGGGAGCAAACAGG